rnacentral:rRNA from 1 species
GCAGGUUGAAGCGCGGGUAAGACCGCGUGGAGGACCGAACCCACCUGGGUUGAAAACCGGGGGGAUGACUUGGGGCUAGGGGUGAAAGGCCAAUCAAAUUCCGUGAUAGCUGGUUCUCUCCGAAAUGCAUUUGGGUGCAGCGUCGGGUCAUUACGUCCCGGGGGUAGAGCUACUGGAUGCUUGCGGGCCCGUAUCGGGUACCAACAGCAACCAAACUCCGAAUACCGGUGACGCGUAUCCCGGCAGUGAGUCGGCGGGGGAUAAGCUUCGUCGUCGAAAGGGAAACAGCCCAGACCGUCGUCUAAGGUCCCGAAGCGUGUGCUAAGUGGGAAAGGAUGUGGAGUCGCAUAGACAGCCAGGAGGUUGGCUCAGAAGCAGCCAUCCUUGAAAGAGUGCGUAACAGCUCACUGGUCUAGUGGUUCCGCGCCGACAAUGUAGCGGGGCUCAAGCACACCACCGAAGACGCGGCAGUAUUUUGUACUGGGUAGGAGAGCGUCCCAUGAGGGGCGAAGCGGCCGUGUGAACGCGCCGUGGACUUCAUGGGAGUGAGAAUGCAGACAUGAGUAGCGAGAGACGGGUGAAGAUCCCGUCCGCUGGAUGACCAAGGGUUCCAGGGCCACGUUCAUCGUCCCUGGGUGAGUCGGGUCCUAAGGCGAGGCCGACAGGCGUAGUCGAAUGGAUGAACGGGUCGAUAUUCCCGUACCGGCUUUCAGCCGCCAAAACCGAGGCUUGGAGUACUAACCUCCGGGUCCGGGCUUACUGCUCCUUCGGGGGCGGGAUGCCCUGGCCUGUUGGGACCGAUCCUUGUAGUAGGUCAGCGCAGGAGUGACGCAGAAGGGUAGCCGGCCGCGGAGGUGGUCUUCCGUGGUCAAGCACGCAGGGCGUGGGACAGGCAAAUCCGUCCCGCAUGGGUCCGAGGUGCGAUGAUGGGGGCCUUAUGGCCCGAUAUCCGGUGAUCCCGGCUGCCGAGAAAAGCUUCGGCGUCAGGCUCGAAGCCGCCCGUACCCCAAACCGACACUGGUGGUCAGGUAGAGAAUACCAAAGCGAUCGAGCGAAUCCUGGUCAAGGAACUCGGCAAAUCACUCCCGUUCCUUCGGUUUAAGGGAGACCCCCGAUGGUGAACACACUUGCUGUGGGAGCUUUUGGGGGUGGCACAGACCAGGGGGUAGCGACUGUUUACCAAAAACACAGGUGCAUGCGAAGGCGCAAGCCGCUGUAUAUGCACUGACGCCUGCCCGGUGCCGGAAGGUUAAGAGGAUCCGUCAGCCUUCGGGUGAAGCGGUGAAUUCAAGCCCCGGUAAACGGCGGUGGUAACUAUAACCAUCCUAAGGUAGCGAAAUUCCUUGUCGGGUAAGUUCCGACCUGCACGAAU